UACGUAGGGCGCAAGCGUUAUCCGGAAUUAUUGGGCGUAAAGAGCUCGUAGGCGGUUUGUCGCGUCUGCCGUGAAAGUCCGGGGCUCAACCCCGGAUCUGCGGUGGGUACGGGCAGACUAGAGUGAUGUAGGGGAGACUGGAAUUCCUGGUGUAGCGGUGAAAUGCGCAGAUAUCAGGAGGAACACCGAUGGCGAAGGCAGGUCUCUGAGCAUUAACUGACGCUGAGGAGCGAAAGCAUGGGGAGCGAACAGG
rnacentral:rRNA from 1 species